AUACGUAGGGGGCGAGCGUUGUCCGGAAUGAUUGGGCGUAAAGGGCGCGUAGGCGGCGCGAUAAGUCUGGAGUGAAAGUCCUGCUUUCAGGGUGGGAAUUGCUUUGGAUACUGCCGCGCUUGAGUGCAGGAGAGGUUAUCGGAAUUCCCGGUGUAGCGGUGAAAUGCGUAGAGAUCGGGAGGAACACCAGUGGCGAAGGCGGGUAACUGGACGGCAACUGACGCUGAGGCGCGAAAGUGUGGGGAGCAAACAGGAUUAGAUACCCUGGUAGUCCACACUGUAAACGAUGUAUGCUAGGUGUAAGAGGUAUCGACCCCUUUUGUGCCGGAGUCAACACAAUAAGCAUUCCGCCUGGGGAGUACGGCCGCAAGGUUGAAACUCAAAGGAAUUGACGGGG
rnacentral:rRNA from 1 species